UUCUGUGUGUGACCAUGGUGAAUAUGUUCUUUUUUGCCGAUCGCAGUACCCAAUUCGCUUCGACUCUCUACUUUCUGUGCGUUCUAUUGCAGACAUCGCCAUGUUGUUAUUUCGCCACAGAAUUGAAGGCAGAUAGCGAAAAAUUACCAUUGGCCAUUUUUCAUUGCAAUUGGGUUGAGCAGGAUCAGCGUUUUCGCAAAGUGAUUAUAUAUUUUAUGCAUCAUGCCCAAAUCUCAGUUGAAUUGAUGGCCAUGAAGCUGUUCCCCAUCAAUGUUGGCACAAAUAUUUCGCUGGCUAAAUUCUCUUUCACACUUUUUACAUUCCUCAAAGAAAUGGCAUUGCAAAAUGGUAAAGAAGUUGAUAAUUUUUGGACUUAUUACCGUUGUGUGUCAAGCGGCGUGCGCACCUGGGACUACUAACCCUGAUCUUUCCGUAGAUGAUGCGUCAUUCACAAUUUUUGUGGACGCAGGGAAGGAGAUUGAGAAGUUGAUAAAUUUGGUCAAAGUAACCGAAAGCAGGCAAAUUACUAUAGAGGAUAUGUUGCAAAAAACAUCUGAGGAAAAUAAACGGUUGGAUGGAAAGGUAACAGAUUUAUCAAAAAUAAUAUCUACUUUAAGCGAAAAAUUAGCCACACAAGAAAAAUUAGGCAACGAGCAAACACAAAGUUCUAAUAUGCAGAGAAGUCUACCCGUUACAUUUGUCAACCCGCAACCACAAGGUUUUGAGAUCCAAAGUGUACCCUUUACAUAUAACAACCAGAUGCAGCAGCAACCAUAUGUACUCAGAGACGCUGGGUGCAUGAUCGGUCCCAAGCAGAGGCAUUCUGAAAUUCUCCGUCGGUUCGAUUGCAUCCCUGACUACUUGGACCACUGCACCGCGGAACCGUCCCCUAGAGGUUUCUUCUCUGCACACGUACCUACGUGGAAUAAGUGGGAAGGAAGAAGUCAAUGGAGGAGAAGUGCAGUCAGCUUUUUCACGGAUGGCAAUACUGGCAUUGGAAUCGAUGACAGUACGCUCUGAGCUAGUUAAGGAGUGUCUUAGAACCUUAUCAAUAGCUUCCAGCUAUUUUGCGAUCUGACUAGUGUGGGUACCCGGUCACCGCGGGAUCGUUGGUAACUGUAUAGCGGAUAAGCUUGCAAGGGAGGGUACCCAGCUACAUACAUUCACGUCGGAAUGGGAGCGCAUUGGUAGUCCAUGGUCCACCUGCGCAAGAGCGCUGGACAUGCAGACUACGCAUGAGCUCGUCAAGCGUUGGUCAACUACCAGUACUUGUGCAGUGGCGAAGUCCUUUCGGCCUUCUGUGGAGCGUAAGCCGUCCUUUCAACUGCUUUCUCUGGGCAAGGUCCAUCUCAGCGCGAUUAUUGGUGUACUUACUGGACAUUGUCCAAUGGGUACACAUGCGGUGAGACUUGGGAUCGUGGCAGAUGCAAAUUGCCAAUGCUGUAUGGAGGAAGGUGAGAUGGAAUCAUCUAAGCAUUUCCUUCUUCAUUGUCCAGCUUUUGCCAGACUGAGGUUGAAACACCUCGGAAGCCCCUUUUUCGGCGAUCCUAGCGAAUUGGCUAGAAUCGAUAUUAGCCGUCUUAAGAAAUUUGUAACGGAUUCCAAGCGUUUUGCUGAAUUUUAUUGGUACCACAAUGGACAGCGCCAGGCUGUCUAAGUGAGAUCUUCUGUUUUUGCAGAGAUCUGCCUACAAACCUAACCUAACCUAACCUAUCUACAAUUACAGUGACGGAAGGUUGAAGGGAAAAUGUAUCUUAGAUCAGCUGAUACUUCUAUCACUCAGAAUGUGAUAUAAGUUGACAUAAUAUUUACAUAUUCCGACCAUUUCAGUCUCGGUGUGAACAACUGUUAUCUAAAAUAUAUCAACCUAAAAUGAACUAACUACUAUAUUACAUUUAUUUAUGCUUCGACUUCUGCAUCGCCUAACUUUUCACACUAACAUUAAAAUACGUUAAAAAGUUUAAAAAUACAUCGAUGUUUUAAUUGACGAUGAUUUUGAUUUCGAUGUUUUUUGAAGAAAUAUCGAUACAUCGAACUAUCAAGGUUUCAUUUUACGAUGUCUGCAUCCCUAAUCUGGCACGGAAAUGAGGAUGGUUUUAUGGCAUUGAGAAACGAACUAAAUUAUCAUCAGUUAAGCGUAGGAAACGUUAAAAUGAGAAUUUGAAGUAAUAUAUUAGAAUUGCCUGGUAGAAUUACAACUUCACCUUGAAAAUUUCCACACAAACAAAUGUUGUUUGUAUAUAUGUACAGUUGAACUUCCUUAAUUCGAACUUCUCUAACUCGAAAAUCUACAUAACCCGAAGUCUUGGAUUGGCAAUACAAUUCAAAUUUCAUACAAAUUUCCUUCCAUAAAUAGAACUUUCCGACUAGGGCAUAAUACCAUAAUACAAAUUUAAAAUUUUACUAUCGAUGCAGAAUUUAAAAAGAGUCCCUAUAUCGUAUGGAGGCGAACAAAAAAUAUGAUAUUACACUCAUGGAAUGAAAUACAGCUUUUUGAAAAAUUUUAUGUUUUAAUGAAAGCUUCUAUAACUCGGAGUUGUUUUGUGGAUUAUGGUGAUUCGAGUUAGGGAAGUUCAACAGAUAUAAAAAAACAUUUACUUUUAGUUUUUGUAAUUAAAAUAUGAAAAUUAUUUACACAAAUUUGUUUAUUUUAAUUUCACUAUUUUCUCUUUUUUUUUUUGAUUUCAGAUACCCAUUGUAUUAAUAAUAAAAUACAUUAUGUCAAAUAA